rnacentral:tRNA from 1 species
GGAGGAGUCGGAUAAUUUGGUCAUUCCAAUGGUUUGCUAAACCAUCGCGGUGUAAAAAGCCGCUUGUGGGUUCGAGUCCCACCUCCUCCG